GGGAAGAAUCUUCCGCAAUGGACGAAAGUCUGACGGAGCAACGCCGCGUGAGUGAAGAAGGUUUUCGGAUCGUAAAACUCUGUUGUGAGGGAAGAACAAGUACCAAGUAACUACUGGUACCUUGACGGUACCUCACCAGAAAGCCACGGCUAACUACGUGCCAGCAGCCGCGGUAAUUAAAAA
rnacentral:rRNA from 1 species